UCCCGAGUGGUCCAGAGGUUAGGACUCUGUGCUCCCGAUGCAGGAAGCCUAGGUUCAAUCCCUGCUUGGGGA
rfam:Ovis aries breed Texel chromosome 9, whole genome shotgun sequence.